UGUGUAGGCGGUGCUCUAAGUCUGUCGUGAAAUCUCCCGGCUCAACUGGGAGGGUGCGGCGGAAACUGGAGUGCUCGAGGAUGGGAGAGGUAAGCGGAAUUCCUGGUGUAGCGGUGAAAUGCGUAGAUAUCAGGAGGAACACCUGUGGUGUAGACAGCUUACUGGACCAUUUCUGACGCUGAGACACGAAAGCGUGGGUAGCAAACA
rnacentral:rRNA from 1 species